rnacentral:rRNA from 1 species
GGAUAACCUACCUAUAAGACUGGGAUAACUUCGGGAAACCGGAGCUAAUACCGGAUAAUAUAUUGAACCGCAUGGUUCAAUAGUGAAAGACGGUUUUGCUGUCACUUAUAGAUGGAUCCGCGCCGCAUUAGCUAGUUGGUAAGGUAACGGCUUACCAAGGCAACGAUGCGUAGCCGACCUGAGAGGGUGAUCGGCCACACUGGAACUGAGACACGGUCCAGACUCCUACGGGAGGCAGCAGUAGGGAAUCUUCCGCAAUGGGCGAAAGCCUGACGGAGCAACGCCGCGUGAGUGAUGAAGGUCUUCGGAUCGUAAAACUCUGUUAUUAGGGAAGAACAAAUGUGUAAGUAACUAUGCAC